CUUGCUUUUGAAGAUGACGAGCGGCGGACGGGUGAGUAAUGCCUGGGAAUUUGCCCAUUUGUGGGGGAUAACAGUUGGAAACGACUGCUAAUACCGCAUACGCCCUACGGGGGAAAGCAGGGGACCUUCGGGCCUUGCGCUGAUGGAUAAGCCCAGGUGGGAUUAGCUAGUAGGUGAGGUAAAGGCUCACCUAGGCGACGAUCCCUAGCUGGUCUGAGAGGAUGAUCAGCCACACUGGGACUGAGACACGGCCCAGACUCCUACGGGAGGCAGCAGUGGGGAAUAUUGCACAAUGGGGGAAACCCUGAUGCAGCCAUGCCGCGUGUGUGAAGAAGGCCUUCGGGUUGUAAAGCACUUUCAGCGAGGAGGAAAGGGUGUAAGUUAAUACCUUACAUCUGUGACGUUACUCGCAGAAGAAGCACCGGCUAACUCCGUGCCAGCAGCCGCGGUAAUACGGAGGGUGCGAGCGUUAAUCGGAAUUACUGGGCGUAAAGCGUGCGCAGGCGGUUUGUUAAGCGAGAUGUGAAAGCCCCGGGCUCAACCUGGGAACCGCAUUUCGAACUGGCAAACUAGAGUCUUGUAGAGGGGGGUAGAAUUCCAGGUGUAGCGGUGAAAUGC
rnacentral:rRNA from 1 species